AUAAGGUUAAGUUAAUAAGGGCGCACGGUGGAUGCCUUGGCACUAGAAGCCGAUGAAGGACGUGACUAACGACGAAAUGCUUUGGGGAGCUGUAAGUGAGCAAUGAUCCAGAGAUGUCCGAAUGGGGGAACCCGGCAGGUAAUGCCUGUCACUCAUUACUGUUAAGGUAAUGUAGAGGAAGACGCAGUGAACUGAAACAUCUAAGUAGCUGCAGGAAGAGAAAGCAAAAGCGAUUGCCUGAGUAGCGGCGAGCGAAACGGGAAGAGCCCAAACCAGUGUGCAUGCACACUGGGGUUGUAGGACUUUCAACAACGUGUAUGACAAUCUGUAGCAGAACCCUGUUGGAAAG
rnacentral:rRNA from 1 species